CCAGCAGCUGGGGAGUGAGGGCUCCAGCCCUAAGGGUGUGUUUGUGGGGCUGGGUAGAUAUCACAGUAGCCACCAGAGUAAACUUUUUGUAAAUGCUUAGGAUGACAGUCUUAUUACUGCAUUAUUUAAUCCAGCAGUUAGUUGCCUGCCUAAGAACCUCUAGUGAGUCUAGUGCCCAUUGAAUACAGACCAAAUGCCAUCCUUUGAGAGUCUUUGCUUUCCUGUAAAGAUUUAGGAUUGGACUUGAGCUACAAGCCUUUCUCCUUGCGGACUUCCCCAGGUAGGGGCCUGGCCUGGCUGUCCAACUGCGUAGUCACCCCUGAGGUGUCCACAGGUUCUAUGCCAUCCCC
rnacentral:lncRNA from 1 species